rnacentral:rRNA from 1 species
CAACUUUUGACAAUGGAUCUCUUGGUUCUCGCAACGAUGAAGAACGCAGCAAAAUGCGAUAAGUAAUGUGAAUUGCAGAAUACGUGAAUCAUCAAAUCUUCGAACGCAUAUUG